rnacentral:lncRNA from 10 species
GGGGCGGCUCCACUCCGGCGCUCUGCGGAGGACAGCAGCGAUCGCCAAGGCUCAAGGGGUGUCAACCAGGAACCUUGUGAUGCGUGAGGAAAAAAUAUUACCUUUUCCCCCUACUCUUUCUGGCACCCAACAAACAAGUGGGGUGGCAAAGACACCCCACUUGGGACAACUGGCAAAAGGUAAGCAUUCUUACCAAGGUUAACUGUCCCAUAUCACUGCCUGUAGUACUCAGCUGAGAGUGGAAGGUAAAAACUUCUUGUCCCUUCCUUUCCAAAUUCAAAUUAGCAGAAGAAAACAUUGUGUCUGGAUUGUGACUCUUGCUUAAAUUUGGUUGAGGGGUAACUGUUUGUUAUUG